AAUUGUUUUGCGCUCCAUCUCGAUCGGCUGAAAUUGUGGCAAAUCUGAAUAAUGUCAGCAUACUGCCUCGUCGCGCUCAGGCUUAUAAGAUUACUCAGGGUGAGAAAUGCUGGAUAUACCUAAAAUUGCUUGGUGUUGGURAUUACAGUUGUCGGACAGUGGAAUCGUUGGAUCAUUGGCCGGUUGCGAGUGGUGUACGUGACUCUGGUGUUAUCAGUAAUGUCUGCGCUAGCGAUAUAAGCACAGUUGYGGAUCUUGAAGAGCAAUUCUGUAAUGCUUUUUCACUUCGAUAUCGUUCGCUUUUGUGAUAUUACUGGUCGUCGGGUUUUUUAUUGUCAGUUCAUUGUUUGACUUUGGCACUUAAGAGGCAAAAUCAUUACUGUGCCGUUCGGAUGGCUAUAAAUGAGCGCAACCACAGAUAUUGUUAGAUAAAUUUCAUAAACGAUUGUUUGGAGCAUUCAAUAUAUGUACAUAUGUAUCGAAUUUUAUUCUGUUAUCUUGUCAGUUUGAAAUUCCACGAAACAAAUGUGAAAGGAGAGAUUUAUUGCCACUAUUCAAGAUCACUAUUAAAGAAGACGCGAAAUUGAAAUGUAUGCGAUGAAAUCUUUUGUGAUGUUUGUUGUGAUCAAUUUACUAUUGAAAAUGUUUUGAUCCGCUCUCAAACUGGAAUAAGUUGGCAUCCGUUAACCUCUGGUAAAUACAAUCCAACAGUUACUUGGAGGCGGGGGUUCAAAUUUCUAUAAGAGCCCUCCAUUUGUGAGAUAACGUCAAGAUGCACAUCUGACAGAGGCGUAAGAGGCACGUAUGUCGUAACGUAUUUGUUAUUUGAAUUUGAAGGUGCUGCGCAACUAAGAUUACGCACUAUCAUUGACAUUCUUACAUGCAAGCACUGACGAACAAUUUUAACGUUUUAUUUUUCUUGAAUAACAAUGAAGCGCAAUGAAAAUGAUCAUGUCAUAACGCAUAACCGAUAAAUAUUAUAUAUAGUAUAUAUGUAUGUACAUACAUGAACCCAGGUAGUCAAUUUAAGUUUACUUGUAUAUUGCGAUAUCUUUCCUAAUGAUUGACUUUUAUUGAAUAUUUAAAUAAAAUAAUAUGAUAAAACGCACAUAUUUAGCUGCAUACCUUCAAAUUAGUUUAUAAGAAAUUAUUGACUUUGUCUGUUAUUGUAAAAACCUAUAGCCACGUGAAUG